rnacentral:rRNA from 1 species
ACAUGCCUACAACAUAGCAUUAAUGCAACAAACCCCAUUAGAACUCUGAAAUUAAGCAUGCUCAAGCUAUAGUAGUACUAGGAUGGGUGACCACCCAAGAAUUCUUAGUGUUUUACAUGCC